AUUUCUCUCUCCAGGAGCUGUCUCAGCUCUCUUCGGGUCAGCUUUGCCUUGGGGUCACCAUCCUCCCUGGCAUAUUUGUGGAAUGUCUCAAUGACACAGAAGACACCUCUCAGGAGCCUCGACAUCUUUACCACCUGGAAGAGGCUGCAAGGAAACAAGACUGUGUCUUGGAUGGCAGGACUCCCAGCUUAACAUCCUGAGCAAAGGUUGACUUUCCUCUGAGCCACCGACAGUCUCCACAGCCUCACAUAGAAGCAAAGCAGCCGCAGAGGUCCUGGGCACACUGGAGUCUAUGAGACUUACCUACUUACCUCGUUCAGGAGACAUAAGAAGUGGGUCGAUCUACAGAAAUAGGAGUGAAAAACUAAGAUGAAGAGCAUGAACAGGUGAAGAUGGGAAAGUGUCAAUCCUGUGCCUCCCUAAUAAGAACAGCUGUGGGAUUGUGGGGAUCUGUCCCACUGGGAACUUAGGUCACCAGUGAAGAGGUGGCCUGGAAUCGAGGAAAGGUAAGUG